UACGUAGGGUGCGAGCGUUGUCCGGAAUUAUUGGGCGUAAAGGGCUCGUAGGCGGUUUGUCGCGUCGGGAGUGAAAACUCAGGGCUUAACCCUGAGCCUGCUUCCGAUACGGGCAGACUAGAGGUAUGCAGGGGAGAACGGAAUUCCUGGUGUAGCGGUGAAAUGCGCAGAUAUCAGGAGGAACACCGGUGGCGAAGGCGGUCUCUGGGCAUUACCUGACGCUGAGGAGCGAAAGUGUGGGGAGCGAACAGG
rnacentral:rRNA from 1 species